UCCUCAGCUAGGUGAAUCCUCACCCAUCCCUCCUUACAGAAUGCAGAUAAAAAAAUGAUUGGAGUUCACAUGGCAUGUGAUCAGCAUCUCUGUGUAGCCAGGACUCACAGCAUCUUCCUUGUUCUUUCUGUG
rnacentral:snoRNA from 1 species